rnacentral:rRNA from 1 species
GACGAACGCUGGCGGCGUGCUUAACACAUGCAAGUCGAACGGGUCUGCCCUGUUUUUUGCGGGGUGGGUCAGUGGCGAACGGGUGAGUAACACGUGAGUAACCUGCCCCUCACUUCUGGAUAACCGCUUGAAAGGGUGGCUAAUACGGGGUGUUCUGGCUGUGCCGCAUGGUGUGGCUGGGAAAGAUUCACUUUUGUGGUGUUUUGGUGGGGGAUGGGCUCGCGGCCUAUCAGCUUGUUGGGGGGGUGAUGGCCUGCUAAGGCUUUGACGGGUAGCCGGCCGAGGAGGAUGGGCGGUCACACUGGGACUGAGAUCCGGCCCAGACUCCUGCGGGAGGCAGCGGUGGGGGGUAUUGCACAAUGGGCGGAAGCCUGAUGCAGCGACGUCGCGUGAGAGAUGGAGGCCUUCGUGUUGUGAACCUCUUUCGCCGGUGAAGAAGGUCCUGCUCUUUGUGGGGGGGUUGACGGUAGCCGGGUUAUGAAGCGCCGGCUAACUACGUG